ACCUCGAUAGUGUAGUGGUAGCACGCGUCCUCGGUAUGGGAGAAACGCGGGUUCGACUCCCAACUGAGGUU